GGCUUGGACUUUUCACAGAUGACCUAGAACUAUAAGAAACUUUUGCUCAGGCAAAGAGCCAAAAGAACCCAGGCUUUGAUUUUCUAGUAACCAAUGAAACGUGGCUGACAUCAUCUUCUUGAUAUUGCUGUUGGCUAUCAGAUAGCACAAUACUAGAGUUGGUUUCUUUUUGAGCUAGAAAACCAGAAGACUAUCAAGGGAAGUGGAACUGGGAGUUAUGAGUAUGGAAGGUUGGACUCGUCAUUGAUUUUUUUCCCAAGUAAGAAACUGCAUCUCCUGUGAUUUUAAACAUU
rnacentral:misc_RNA from 1 species